AACGAACGCUGGCGGCAGGCUUAACACAUGCAAGUCGAACGCAUCCUUCGGGGUGAGUGGCAGACGGGUGAGUAACGCGUGGGAACGUGCCCUUCAGUUCGGGAUAACCCAGGGAAACUUGGGCUAAUACCGGAUACGUGCGAGAGCAGAAAGAUUUAUCGCUGAAGGAUCGGCCCGCGUCUGAUUAGCUAGUUGGUGGGGUAAUGGCCCACCAAGGCGACGAUCAGUAGCUGGUCUGAGAGGAUGAUCAGCCACAUUGGGACUGAGACACGGCCCAAGCUCCUACGGGAGGCAGCAGUGGGGAAUAUUGGACAAUGGGCGCAAGCCGGAUCCUGCCAUGCCGCGUGAGUGAUGAAGGCCUUAGGGUUGUAAAGCUCUUUCGUCCGGGACGAUAAUGACGGUACCGGAAGAAGAAGCCCCGGCUAACUUCGUGCCAGCAGCCGCAGUAA
rnacentral:rRNA from 1 species